UGGUUGUCUUUUCUUUCCUUCCUCCGGAGUUUCCUCCACUGUUGAGGUUGGGCUAAUAGCCUAAUACAGUGCUAUACUAGGACCCCAUGAGCUCUGUCGCCCCCACAAUAUUUCUUGAAAACUCUUACUAUAUAUUCUUUCAACCUUCAGGAUCCAAUCUCCAUAAAUUUCCUUAACCUCCGCACUGUAAAUUCCUUCAGUGACGGCUGAGCAGAUCGCAUUCAGCAUUGCAAAGAAACUCAUAGAGAUACUGUCAUCUGCUGCUUUUGAAGAAAUAGGAGUGAUUUUCGGCGUUCGGAAUGAACUAAGAAGGCUUAGAAAUACACUCGCCACCAUCAGCGCAGCACUUCUCGAUGCUGAAGAGAGGCAGGGGAAGAGCCAUGCCGAGAGAGAGUGGAUAAGGAGGCUUAAUGAAGCUUUUUAUGUUGCAGAUGACUUUCUGGAUGACUUCGCAAUUGAAGAUUUGAGGCGGAAAGUUGACAGUUGAGGAGGGAUUGCUGGACAGGUCCACCAAGAUAUGACUGCACCAUCAUCCCACUAUUUUAUACAUACUGACCUACUGGAAACCAAACCAGGCAGUGAUUGCCGCAAUGUUCCAAUAAGAAAGCCACUCGAGGGAGGUGUAAGAGUAAUAGAACUCAAUAUAUGGCUAAAUUCAACAAAAGAUGAUGUCCAUAUGUUCUUCAUGGAAGCUAUGCACUUUAUGUCCAGAGUCCAUGGACAACUCAUUGUACAGUAAAAUUCUAAAUGAGCACUUCUAUGGAACUACUAUAUAUUAUUAUUACUUAUUUCUUUCUUUUCUUGUAAAGAUUUUACAUUCAAACCAGAAGGCUGCAUACACCAUGCCCGACCCCUAAUAUGAUAUGGGAGCUUUAUGUGCAACAUUUGUUUCUUUUCUGGGUGAUUGUUUUAGUGCUCAAUGUGAAUGAUUCAAGAAUUAAGAUGAUUAUUUUCUAUGAGGAAACUCCAGCUUUUUAAAA